GGAGUUUCACUCUUGUUGUCCAGGCUGGAGUGCAAUGGCCCAAUCUCAGCUCACUGCAACCUCCGCCUCCCGGGUUCAAGCGAUUCUCCUGUCUCGGCCUCCCAAGUAGCUGGGAUUACAGACAUGCACCACCAUGCCCGGCUAAUUUUUGUAUUUUUAGUAGAGACGGGGUUUCUCCAUUUUGGUCAGGCUAGUCUCGAACUUCCGACCUCAGGUGAUCUGCCCGCCUCGGUCUCCCAAAGUGCUGGGAUUACAAGCAUGAGCCACCGCGCCUGGUUGCCUGAAGUAUCAUAGUCCACAUGUGCUCUCAUCCACCAUUACCACACCGUUACCUCGCGACUCAGUUGUUCCUUGGCCAAG
rnacentral:lncRNA from 10 species